rnacentral:rRNA from 1 species
GAGGGGGCAAGCGUUGCUCGGAAUCACUGGGCGUAAAGGGCGCGUAGGCGGGAUGACAAGUCGGUCGUGAAAUCCCUGGGCUCAACUCAGGGGGGUCGGCCGAUACUGCCAUUCUUGAGGGAUGCAGAGGAGACUGGAAUUCCCGGUGUAGCGGUGAAAUGUGUAGAGAUCGGGAGGAACACCGGUGGCGAAGGCGGGUCUCUGGGCAUUCCCUGACGCUGAGGCGCGAAAGCGUGGGGAGCAAACGGGAUUAGAUACCCCGGUAGUCCACGCGGUAAACGAUGACGACUAGGUGUGGGGGGUUAAGGUCCCUUCCGUGCCGCAGCUAACGCAUUAAGUCGUCCGCCUGGGGAGUACGGCCGCAAGGUUG